AGCAUUCCUUUCCUCAAAGUUAGUGAGCACAGAGUAACAAUGCUAAAAAUUAAGAGCAAAAUCUAAAACUAAGUAGUCAAAAAGCUUCCUUAAUAGCUACUACUUGGAUGAUAAAAUAAGAUAUAUUUCUCAAAAAGUAUUAGACAAGUAAUCCUAAGUAAAAAAGUUUUUAAAAGGUCCCUUUUUGUUUUUGCUAGUUUAUGAUAUACAAACUUUCUGUGAUGAAUGUUUUUACCUUAAACACUGAUAUUUUCAAUACUAGAGUUCUGAUGGUAUAGUUAUUUGGAUAGGGGAAUUGAACACUGUUGAUUUAAAAGACAGAUUA